ACCAAAGAGAGACAACUCCAAGCUACUGAGGAGAAUGAGGAGGAAACAUAUAUUCCCAGAAAACUCUUUCUGUUUAACAUAGAAUCUUUCAUGGAGAGUCCAAAGUGUAAAGAGCCAAAUCUAGCUAAGUUUACUCCUUACCCCUCUACAAGCUUACCAAAUUCAUCAAGGGAGGAUGACCAUGCUCAUGGAUUAUUUUCAGAAAAGAAAUCAUCUCCAAACAAGACAAGAAGAAGCAUCAAAACCCGUGUUUUAAAAUUUUUCAGACUGAGAUAAAUUCAGAUUUAGAAAAUGUUAAGAUAAAUGACUGCUAAUACUAGAAGAUUGUGUUUCGAGUUCAAACACUGAUUUUUGUAAAAUUUAUUGAUACUUUUAAUUGAAAUACAUGAUAUCGAA